AGCAGCCGCGGUAAUUCCAGCUCCAAUAGCGUAUAUUAAAGUUGUUGCAGUUAAAAAGCUCGUAGUUGAAUUUCGGGGUUAGUAGGUCGGUCAUGCCUCAGGUAUGCACUGGUCUCACUGAUUCCUCCUUCCUGAUGAGCCGUAAUGCCAUUAAUUUGGUGUUGCAGGGAAUCUGGACUGUUACUUUGAAAAAUUAGAGUGUUUAAAGCAGGCUAACGCUUGAAUACAUUAGCAUGGAAUAAUGGAAUAGGACGUUCGAUCCUAUUUUGUUGGUUUCUAGGAUUGACGUAAUGAUUAAUAGGGAUAGUUGGGGGCAUUAGUAUUCAAUUGUCAGAGGUGAAAUUCUUGGAUUUAUUGAAGACUAACUACUGCGAAAGCAUUUGCCAAGGAUGUUUUCAUUAAUCAAGAACGAAA
rnacentral:rRNA from 1 species